CCUACGGGAGGCAGCAGUGGGGGAUAUUGCACAAUGGGGGAAACCCUGAUGCAGCGACGCCGCGUGGGUGAAGGAGUGAUUCGUUAUGUAAAGCUCUAUCAGCAGGGAAGAAAGUGACGGUAACUGAGUAAGAAGCCCCGGGUAACUACGGGCCAGCAGCCGCGGUAAUACGUAGGGGGCAAGGGUUAUCCGGAUUUACUGGGUGGAAAGGGGGCGGAGACGGCAGUGCAAGUCUGGAGUGAAAGGCGGGGGCUCAACCCCCGGACUGCUCUGGAAACUGUGCGGCUGGAGUGCAGGAGAGGUAAGUGGAAUUCCUGGUGUAGCGGUGAAAUGCGUAGAUAUUAGGAGGAACACCAGUGGCGAAGGCGGCUUACUGGACUGUAACUGACGUUGAGGCCCGAAAGCGUGGGGAGCAAACAGGAUUAGAUACCCGUGUAGUC
rnacentral:rRNA from 1 species